rnacentral:rRNA from 1 species
UACAGAGGGUGCAAGCGUUGUUCGGAAUUAUUGGGCGUAAAGCGCGUGUAGGCGGCCUGGCAAGUUGGGUGUGAAAGCCCUCGGCUUAACCGAGGAAGUGCGCCCAAAACUACGAGGCUUGAGUACCGGAGAGGGUGGCGGAAUUCCCGGUGUAGAGGUGAAAUUCGUAGAUAUCGGGAGGAACACCAGUGGCGAAGGCGGCCACCUGGACGGAUACGUGACGCUGAGACGCGAAAGCGUGGGGAGCAAACAGG